CUGCAAAAGACACAAAACGACAACAGAGACACAAAACGACAACGAGACACAAAACAACAACAAAGAGACACAAAACAACCAAAAAAUAGACACAAAAAAACACAAAGAGACACAAAACAACCAAAAAAUGACACAAAACAUCCUCAGACACAAAACAACAACAGACACAAAAAACAAAAAAUAGACACAAAACGAAUACAGAAACACAAAACGACAACAAAGAGACACAAGAUUACCACAGAGACAUACAAAACAACCACAACGUGACUGUUCUUUUUCCUGCUUUCAGAAGUUAUUUUCUGUUUUCAUGUUUGUUUUUCCUGCAGUUCCUCGGACGACCGCAGCGCCUCCUCCGGGCCUGCAGGGGGCGACACCGCGGCUCACAGUCAGUCUGUUUACAUGUAGCUGGGUUAGCUUUAGCUUCUGCUGAGCGCUGAGGUGAGCAGGUGAACCUUCAUCAUGGUCAAACAGCCACGGAGGACAGACAGGUGUUUUCUACCUGCGGCAGGAAGCGGCGUGUCGAGGGUUCGGUUCCCUGUCAGGCUGCUUCCCCCUCAGCAGGUGACAGGAAGCAGCGCCGCAACCACAGAAGAAGAAACACCUGGAGGCCCGGGAACAGAUGGAGCUUCAGGAGAGGCCAAGAGGGCCAGACUGGACGGGGGUGAGGACGCUGCAGCUCCGUCCAAUCGGGAGAAGGCCUCGGGGUCAUGUGGUCUGGCAGCAGAUGUCCCUCCUCCUGACCAGCAGGUGGCAGCAGAGCUGCAGAGCGUCGGCUCGCUGAAGGUCACCAUUCAGCAGAGCAGCGAGAGCAGAGAGUUCGGUCAGACGGACAGGACGGCCGACCGACAGACAGGUGGACUCCACUGUCACGUCUGCAACCUCACCUGUCACUCCCUGCAAGUGUUUCAGGACCACAUGUCAGGAGCAGAACACCUGAAGAAGCUGCAACAGAUCACACAAUCCAUCCGCCUCAACACACACACUCUGCAGGACAGCAGGAGGCGUCGUCCUGAGGCUCAGCGCUGGUGUGACUCCUGUCAGACUCACUUCGCCGGUGACGUCAUCAUCCACCGACGGACCAAACAGCACAAGAUGUGUAAGCAGCUGUGUCGGCCGUUCUGUCCUGUCUGCAAACGACACUUCAGGACACCCAGGAAGUUCGUCGAGCACAUGAAGUCUCCAGAACACAAACAACAGGUGACACUAGAAGCCCAGGAGGAGGAACUGAUCACUGUGGAUGCUGUGGGCUGCUUCCAGGACGAGGAGGAAGAGGAGGAGGAGGAGGAGGAGGAGGAGGAGGAGGAGGAGGAGGUAGAUGUAGCAGAAGAAGAAGGAGGAGGAGGGAAGGAGUUGGUGUUGGAGACCGCUGAUCCUGACCACUCCACCAGGGGGCAGUACGACCCCCACACCACAUAUGGAAGUAGUUUUGUGGUUCCAGUUUGUGGCUUCGUCUGUCGACUCUGCAACAAGUUUUUCUACACAGAAGCCACAGCAAAACACACACACUGCAGGACACACACACACUACCUGAAGCUGCAGCCUCCGUCCACGUGGCACGCCUCGUCGUGCACGGCCGCAGGGGGCGCGCUCCCGGCCGGCGCGCAGCAUUGUGGGUCGGAGGAGAACCAGCGGGGCAGCAUCAGCACCGGCGGAAGGGACCGGGACGCCUGAGAGCGGAUAGAAGCUGCGCCGGAGCCGCUGCAGACAUGGGACACGGAGACCUAAUGAGCCGGGCGGAGGACGUAGCGGACCAGUUCCUGCGCGUCACCAAACACUACUUGCCCCACGUGGCCCGGCUCUGCCUGGUCAGCACCUUCCUGGAGGACGGGGUCCGGAUGUGGUUCCAGUGGGCGGAGCAAAGCGAGUACAUCAACGCCACCUGGAGCUGCGGUC